rnacentral:lncRNA from 1 species
CAAACACUGGGAUCCCUGGAUACCAUGAGGCAAGAUUUCACUCUGUCACCCAGACUGGAGUGCAGUGGCACAAACAUAGCUCACUGAAGCCUCAAACUCCUGGGCUCAAGAGAUCCUUCUGCUUCAGCCUCCUGAGUAGCUGGGACUUCAGAAUCCCAGUCCUCUCUCUCUCACUGACCCCGAAGAUAAGCAUUGGAAAGGGGAGCUUUGGGGAAAUGAAUCUGCCCUGUCAUCUGCGUAUAGAGCUAAUCUUAAAUCCCAACUGCCAAAUGGAUCCUGAGGUGUCAGAAACUCUCCCGAGAUAAGGGGGCUUCUAGCAACCAUCUGCAUUCUGGACCCAGAGAGAAGGUGUGGGUGGACAAAGCAAAGCAGAGCCCUGACCUCACACCAGCUGGCUGAGCUGUCUUGGCUUGCAUUUGCUGUUCCAGCAUUUGUGGAGUUUGAAAUCUGCAUGCUUGGAGUGCGGAGAGCUGGAUCUUGCACCACAGUCUCCCUGUGGGCUCUUGACCGAAGAAGGAGGAGGAUAAGGAGAGAGAAAAGAAGAAUAAGAGGUAGAAG